rnacentral:rRNA from 1 species
UGAGGAAUAUUGGUCAAUGGAGGCAACUCUGAACCAGCCAUGCCGCGUGCAGGAAGAAUGCCUUAUGGGUUGUAAACUGCUUUUAUAUAGGAAGAAUCGCCAGUACGUGUACUGGUUUGACGGUACUAUUUGAAUAAGGACCGGCUAACUCCGUGCCAGCAGCCGCGGUAAUACGGAGGGUCCAAGCGUUAUCCGGAAUUAUUGGGUUUAAAGGGUCCGCAGGCGGGACACUAAGUCAGUGGUGAAAUUUCUUAGCUUAACUAAGACAUUGCCGUUGAAACUAUUGUUCUUGAAUUCGGUCGAAGUGGGCGGAAUAUGUCAUGUAGCGGUGAAAUGCAUAGAUAUGACGUGGAACUCCGAUAGCGAAGGCAGCUCACUAGGCCUGAAUUGACGCUCAGGGACGAAAGCGUGGGGAGCAAACAGG